rnacentral:misc_RNA from 1 species
AAGUAUGAUAUAUCGUACACCCUCUCAAAAGAUACACAAAUUAACAGAAUCAUAUUUCAUCAAACCUUAAAAGUUUUUAACAAUGACGCUAAGACAAAAAGAGCUAUCAACUUUGAAAAUCUAAGCAAGAUACCACAUGCAUUACAUUUGCGAACUUUCCAGCCUUCCCUUUAAUAGCACCUCGGUGAAUACCCAGAUUUAUUUGAAAAUCCUUUUCUAGGCUAAAUAAAUUACGCCCGUGAUCAAAAGGUAGCAGGUGGUUUCUCCAUACUUUUA